UAGAAGGGAAGAUGACGUGCCCAAGGU
rnacentral:piRNA from 1 species